UACAGAGGGGCAAGCGUUGUUCGGAAUUACUGGGCGUAAAGGGCGCGUAGGCGGCCUGUUAAGUCGAACGUGAAAUCCCCGGGCUCAACCCGGGAACUGCGUCCGAUACUGGCAGGCUUGAAUCCGGGAGAGGGAUGCGGAAUUCCAGGUGUAGCGGUGAAAUGCGUAGAUAUCUGGAGGAACACCGGUGGCGAAGGCGGCAUCCUGGACCGGCAUUGACGCUGAGGCGCGAAAGCCAGGGGAGCAAACGGGG
rnacentral:rRNA from 1 species